rnacentral:rRNA from 1 species
AUUGAACGCUGGCGGAAGGCCUAACACAUGCAAGUCGAGCGGAGCGGCGGACGGGCGAGUAAUGCCUACGAAUCUGCCCGGCAGAGGGGGAUAAGGUCAGGAAACGGGCGCUAAUACCGCAUACGAGAAGCUGAGCCUAGGUCGGAUUAGCUAGUUGGUGGGGUAAAGGCCUACCAAGGCGACGAACCGUAACUGGUCUGAGAGGAUGAUCAGUCACACUGGAACUGAGACACGGUCCAGACUCCUACGUGAGGCAGCAGUUGGGAAUAUUGGACAAUGGGCGAAAGCCUGAUCCAGCCAUGCCGCGUGUGUGAAGAAGGUCUUCGGAUUGUAAAGCGCUUUAAGUUGGGAGGCGUUACCAACAGAAUAAGCACCGGCUAACUUCGUGCCAGCAGCCGCGGUAAUUC